GACGAACGCUGGCGGCGUGCCUAAUACAUGCAAGUAGAACGCUGAAGGAGGAGCUUGCUUCUCUGGAUGAGUUGCGAACGGGUGAGUAACGCGUAGGUAACCUGCCUGGUAGCGGGGGAUAACUAUUGGAAACGAUAGCUAAUACCGCAUAAGAGUAGAUGUCGCAUGACAUUUGCUUAAAAGGUGCAAUUGCAUCACUACCAGAUGGACCUGCGUUGUAUUAGCUAGUUGGUGAGGUAACGGCUCACCAAGGCAACGAUACAUAGCCGACCUGAGAGGGGGGUCGGCCACACUGGGACUGAGACACGGCCCAGACUCCUACGGGAGGCAACAAUAAGGAAUCUUCGGCAAUGGACGGAAGUCUGACCGAACAACGGCGCGUGAGUGAAGGAGGUUUUCGGAUCGGAAAGCUCUGUUGUAAGGGAAGGACGAGUUUGAGAGUUGAAAGUUCACACUGUGACGGUACCUUACCAGAAAGGGACGGCUAACUACGUG
rnacentral:rRNA from 1 species